rnacentral:tRNA from 1 species
UGCCCUAUAGCUCAAGCAGGCAGAGCAAGCGGCUGUUAAUCGCGAGGUUGUAGGGUUCUCCCUUCGGGAGACGCUGCGCGAACGAUUCCUACUGGGGCAG